AACACAUGCAAGUCGAACGGAAACGAUGGAAGCUUGCUUCCAGGCGUCGAGUGGCGGACGGGUGAGUAAUGCUUAGGAAUCUGCCCAGUAGUGGGGGACAACUCGGGGAAACUCGAGCUAAUACCGCAUACGCCCUACGGGGGAAAGCGGAGGAUCUUUCGGGACUUCGCGCUAUUGGAUGAGCCUAAGUCGGAUUAGCUUGUUGGUGAGGUAAAAGCUCACCAAGGCGACGAUCCGUAGCUGGUCUGAGAGGACGAUCAGCCACACUGGGACUGAGACACGGCCCAGACUCCUACGGGAGGCAGCAGUGGAGAAUAUUGGACAAUGGGGGCAACCCUGAUCCAGCAAUGCCGCGUGUGUGAAGAAGGCCUGCGGGUUGUAAAGCACUUUCAGUAGAGAAGAAAAGCCUACGGUUAAUACCCGUGGGUCUUGACGUAACCUACAGAAGAAGCUCCGGCUAACUCCGUGCCAGCAGCCGCGGUAAUACGGAGGGAGCGAGCGUUAAUCGGAAUUACUGGGCGUAAAGCGCGCGUAGGCGGCUUUGUAAGUCGGAUGUGAAAGCCCAGGGCU
rnacentral:rRNA from 1 species